CCUACGGGUGGCUGCAGUGGGGAAUAUUGCGCAAUGGACGCAACUCUGACCCAGCAACGCCGCGUGAGCGAUGAAGGUCUUCGGAUUGUAAACCUCUGUCGCAGGGGACGAAGUAUGACGGUGCUCCUCAAGAGAGCAUCGGCAAACUAUGUGCCAGCAGCCGCGGCAAUCCGUAGGGGGGUAGCGUUGGUCGGAAUGACUGGGCGUAAGGGGAGUGGAGUCGGUAUGUCAAGUGAGGUGUGAAAUCCUGGGGCUUAACCGGGGAACUGCACUUGAAACUGACUUGCUAGAGUGCGGGAGAGGAGAGUGGAAUUCCUGGUGUAGCGGUGAAAUGCGUAGAUAUUAGGAGGAACACCAGAGGCGAAGGCGGCUAACUG
rnacentral:rRNA from 1 species